rnacentral:rRNA from 1 species
AGGAGGUGGGAUGACGUCAAGUCCUCAUGGCCUUUAUGCCCAGGGCUACACACGUGCUACAAUGGGUGGUACAAAGAGACGCAAGCUCGCGAGAGCAAGCAAACCUCAAAAAGCCAUCCUCAGUUCGGAUUGGAGUCUGCAACUCGACUCCAUGAAGUUGGAAUCGCUAGUAAUCGCGGAUCAGCAUGCCGCGGUGAAUACGUUCCCGGGCCUU